rnacentral:rRNA from 1 species
CAAGAGCGUAUAUUAAUGCUGUUGCUGUUAAAGGGUUCGUAGUUGAACUGUGGGUUGACUUUCGGUUCUCGUGGCUCCGUCCCUUUCUCCGGAUUGGUGACCGCCACGCCGGCAACCCGUGAACAUUCAGAAACAGAAAUCGCGGGACCGCUUUUCCCAACCACUCACGCAUGUAACGCAUGCACGCGGUGGGACGCCCGUGAUAUUACUGUGACCAAAGAAGCGUGACCAAAGCAGUCAUUUCGACAUGAAUUAGCAAGCAUGGGAUAACAAAGGAGCAACCUUGAGGCUACCGUUUCGGCUUUUGUUGGUUUUAAAGGCCUCUGGGAGAUUAUGGGUGCGCACGAAAAGCAACUUGAGGUCCUCUACAGGAUACUUCAAGGUUUGCCUUCUCAGGGGUCAACCCCCUCGGGACUUGCGAUACCCAGGAAUGAAGGAGGGUUGUUCGGGGGAGAACGUACUUGAGCGUGAGAGGUGAAAUUCUUAGACCGCUCAAAGACGAACUACAGCGAAGGCAUUCUCCAAGGAUACCUNCCUCA